rnacentral:lncRNA from 1 species
GGAAAUUGAAAGGGAGCUAAAAGGGCAGCUCAUGGAGAAGAAAACAGGUUGUUCUUCACUGGGCUCCCAACGGUUUUGGAAACAUCAGCAGCAGGUUUCGUUUAGGAAUUUUCUGAGAGUGAUUCUAGAGCAACAGGAUCCGAAGGAAACUUCUGACAGCUUUGGGGACAACAAGAAACACAGAUGUGCUACCUGCAAACCCUUGAGUUCUCCAUCUUGCUCGCUGUCUCUGAGGGCUGUGGGAAUCCAGGGGCUUAUCCAGUCCGAAGGGAAGUCCGCUGUCUUCUGACAUCAAGAGGAGAAGGAUCUGGAGACUGAUGAAUGUACUCUUGCUGUUAUUGUUGGAGCAGAAUCCUAUACAGUUCUUUGGAAAUUUGUCUGCAGGAUAAUACCAGUCCCAUAUGCAUAUACACCUCCUAAACUGCUGCCACUUGUGGGCUCCAAAUUAAAGCUGCUUUAGUUCACACUCACGUUUAUAGCUAGCAUUCCCCAAAGCAAAUUUAUUGCCAAGUAUUUGGAUUUAGAGCAACUACCAGAAUUAGUCACAGUGAAACCUACACUCACUCUUGGUAACUCAGGUUACUCAAGCUUAGAUUUUCUGCCUCCCUAAAGUGAUGCUAUUCCAGGAACCUUGUUAAACAUGCCUCUAUCAAUCUUGGUUGGAGCUCUGUAGUUCACUAAAGUAAAUCUCCCUAACACUGAAAGGAAAAACUUACUCUUGAUAGCUCUCAAGUUCUUGGAUUAUAUAUUUCUAGAGAGUAGAGACUAGCACUUGGACCAAUACCACGCCUUUUAAUAAAAGAUCUGAUGAUUAAAGUAUUUUUUACACAGAGCCUGCCAAGGCAAGCUUUUAAAUGAGGGGAUUCGUAUAUAGUAAAUGAAAGAAAGAGAAAGAAUUGUUCAUUUGCUUCCAAGUAGAACCUAGGAUUCUUGGGCAAAGUCCUCCUUCUCCUCCUUCCUUAGCAAUUUUACAUACCAGGGACCACAGGAGUCAUGGCCUUGUUCAUGCCACAAAAGGGUUCAUCAAGAGCUCAUCACACGUGAGUCUAUUUAAAAGGCUCCUAAACACGAAGCUCUGUUCAAGAUAAACUGAAAUCUUAAUCAACAGGC